CUGAAUAGACGGGCCUCGAUCCCGUAAGCUUUUAAUUAACAGUUAAACACCCAAUCCAGCGGGCUUCAAUUCA
rnacentral:tRNA from 1 species